rnacentral:misc_RNA from 1 species
AACGAGGCCGACCUGCGGCUGAGUUACCUGCGGAGGGAUCAUUACAGAGUUCGUGCCCUCGCGGGUAGAUCUCCCACCCUUGUGUAUUUUCUACAUCUUGUUGCUUUGGCAGGCCGUUGGUUCGCCAACCACCGGCUCGCGGGCUGGUGCGUGCCUGCCAGAGGACCUCUCAAACUCGGUUUGUUAGUGUCGUCUGAGUACCAUAACAAUCGUUAAAACUUUUAGCAACGGAUCUCAGAU